rnacentral:lncRNA from 1 species
UUCGAUUAAGUAUAUUAAGUGUAUUAACUAUAUCUUACAUGUAUUUUCAUCAUACUAGGAUUAUACAGAUGAUAAAUCGCCGACGCCCACGCUGCCAGGCUAUGACCCUUAAAGGGCUACAGUGCUCAAGAGAUUCAACAAGGCAGUUUGUUCUGCAUUAUUGCACACAGCAUUAAUGUGAGGAACCUAUUGAAGCAUAGCUGAGGAAUGGAAAGAGUCCCUCAGGAAUAGCAGGAGGGCUAGGAGAGAAAGUACAUCGUUAUCGAAGGGACGUGAUAGAGAAGGACCUGAAUCAAGCC